rnacentral:rRNA from 1 species
UACGUAGGGACCAAGCGUUGUUCGGAUUUACUGGGCGUAAAGGGCGCGUAGGCGGCUCUGUAAGUCACUUGUGAAAUCUCUGAGCUUAACUCAGAACGGCCAAGUGAUACUGCAGUGCUAGAGUGCAGAAGGGGCAAUCGGAAUUCUUGGUGUAGCGGUGAAAUGCGUAGAUAUCAAGAGGAACACCAGAGGCGAAGGCGGAUUGCUAGGCUGACACUGACGCUGAGGCGCGAAAGCCAGGGGAGCAAACGGG